CAGUUAUGUAACUCUGCCGGUGGAUCGGAUACAUUUUAUGUGUGAUAAAUUGUAACCAUUCUAAAACACGCAUGCGCCGUGUGAGAGCUUUAGGACAGCCAGUCGCCGCUGUGGUACUCGCGCAGCACUGUGGUGGUGGUGGUGCUAGAACGCCAGGAGAGCCAGCGAGGGGAAUCAAGGGACGAUGUCACUGGAGAGGUGUCAAACUGACUGGGAAGAAAUCGACAAAGAAUAUCAGCAGUUACAGGAAACGCACAAGGUAUACCGACAGAAGUUGGAUGAGCUGACGAGUCUACAAGCAGUAUGCAGCAGUGCCAUAAGCAAACAGAGGAAAGGACUGAAGGACAUCAAACUCAGUCUACACAAAUGCACUCCGACAUCAGAUGAGAAAGAGUCCGAACAGAUAAGGGACAUCCAGACGCAAAUCAAAGAGAAGCAAAAUGUCUUCUUUGAUAUGGAAGCGUAUUUGCCAAAGAAGAACGGACUGUACUUAAACCUGGUCCUGGGAAAUGUGAAUGUAACCCUUCUCAGUAAUCAGGCAAAAUUUGCCUACAAAGACGAAUACGAGAAGUUCAAACUUAUCAUGACAAUUAUUCUGAUGUUUGGAGCCAUGACCUGUCUAUUCCUUCUCAAUUAUCGUGUCACAGAUGAAAUCUUCAAUUUUUUACUCGUGUGGUACUAUUGUACGCUGACGAUAAGGGAGAGUAUUCUGAUCAAUAAUGGGUCACGAAUUAAAGGGUGGUGGGUGUUGCAUCAUUAUGUGUCUACGUUCCUCUCAGGGGUCAUGUUGACAUGGCCAGAGGGGUCCAUGUAUCAGAUGUUUAGGAGCCAGUUUCUGGCCUUCUCCAUCUAUCAGAGUUUUUUACAGUUUCUCCAGUACUACUACCAGAGUGGCUGUCUGUACAGGCUGCGGGCGCUGGGAGAGAGAAAUCAGCUGGACCUGACCGUGGAGGGUUUCCAGUCGUGGAUGUGGAGGGGGCUCACCUUCCUGCUGCCCUUCCUCUUCUUCGGCCACUUCUGGCAGCUGUACAACGCCAUCACCCUCUUCAAACUAGCAAGCCAUGAAGACUGCAAGGAGUGGCAGGUGUUCAUGUUGGCUCUGACGUUCCUGGUGCUGUUCCUGGGAAACUUCCUCACCACGCUGAAGGUGGUGCACCAGAAGGUCCAGAAGAACAAGGAGAAGCCCAGGAAGGCAGACUGAAGAAGAGAGAGAAAAGGAACCUGGAGGAGGACGAGAAGAAUGAUGGAUGGAUGGAUGGCAGAUGUGGAGAGAAUGACAAAAGACCAACAAAGAGGUGUGCCAGAAAAGCGUCAUUUUGAGCAGAUGUGGAGAAGAGAGAAGAGAAGAGAGAAGAAGACGACAAGGCAGUGGGUUGGGGAUGAACUCUGAAUGAACAAGAGGGGUGAGAAACGAGCACCAAAUUGUUGCCAUCAACUAGGACCGAGACCACUACCUGACACAACACAACUCAUGAAGAAAAAUCAAGAAGAAACGGGAAGGGAUCUGUGGCCAGAUUGGGUGGGCUUGGGGAGAUGACACGUGUGUGUGUGUGUGUGUGUGUGUGUGUGUGUCUGUGUCUGUGUCUGUGUCUGUGUCUGUGUAUGCG